AUCAACGCUGGCGGCGUGCCUAACACAUGCAAGUCGAACGAGAAUAGCGGGGGCAACCCCGUGAGUAAAGUGGCGACCGGGUGAGUAACACGUGAAUAACCUACCCUUGAGUGGGGAAUAACCCCGGGAAAACCGGGGCUAAUACCGCAUAACACCUGUAAGUGUCCAAAGGAGCAAUUCGCUUAAGGAGGGGGUCGCGGCUGAUUAGCUAGUUGGUUGGGGUAAUGGCCCACCAAAGGCGAUGAUCGGUAGCCGGCCUGAGAGGGACGCACGGCCACAUAGGGGAACCUGAAAACACGGUCGCAGACUCCUACGGGAGGCAGCAGUGUGGGAAUUUUGCGCAAUGGGGGAAAACACCUGACGCAGCAACGCCCGCGUGGAGGAUGAAGUCCUUUGGGAUGUAAACUCCUUUCGACCGGGACGAUGAUGACGGUACCGGUGGAAGAAGCCCCGGCUAACUUCGUGCCAGCAGGCCGCGGUAAUACGAGGGGGGGCAAGCGUGUUCGGAAUUAUUGGGCGUAAAGGGCGCGUAGGGCGGUGCGGUAAGUCACCUGUGAAAUACCUCUGGGCUUAACACUCAGAGCCUGCAGGCGAAACUGCCGUGCUGGAGUGUGGGAGAGGUGCGUGGAAUUCCCGGUGUAGCGGUGAAAUGCGUAGAUAUCGGGAGGAACACCUGUGGCGAAAGCGGCGCACUGGACCACAACUGACGCUUGAGGCGCGAAAGCUAGGGGAGCUAAACAGGAUUAGAUACCCUGGUAGUCCUAGCCCUAAACGUGGAUGGCUUGGUGUAGCCGGUACCCAAUCCGGCCGUGCCGAAGCUAACGCGAUAAGCAUCCCCGCCUGGGGAGUACGGUCGCAAAGGCUGAAACUCAAAGGAAUUGACGGGGGCCCGCACAAGCGGUGGAGCAUGUGGUUCAAUUCGACGCAACGCGAAGAACCUUACCUGGGCUCGAAGCGCAGUGGACCGGGGUAGAAAUAUCCCUUUCCUCGCAAGAGACUGCUGCGGAGGUGCUGCAUGGCUGUCGUCAGCUCGUGUCGUGAGAUGUUGGGUUAAGUCCCCGCAACGAGCGCAACCCUUAAUCUCUAGUUGCCAUCCAGAGUCAAGCUGGGCACUCUAGCGAAACCGCCCCGGAUAACGGGGAGGAAGGUGGGGAUGACGUCAAGUCCUCAUGGCCUUUAUGUCCAGGGCUACACACGUGCUAUCAAUGGUCGGUACAAACCUGUCGUCAAACCCGCGUAGGGGGAGCUAAUCGGAAAAAGCCCGGCCUCAGUUCGGAUUGGAGUCUGCAACUCGACUCCAUGAAGCUGGAAUCGCUAGUAAUCGCCGAUCAGCACGCUGCGGUGAAUACGUUCCCGGGCCUUGUACACACCGCCCCGUCACAUCACGAAAGUGGACUGCACUAGAAGUCGGUAUGCUAACCCGCAAGGGAGGUAGGCCCGCCCAAGGUAUGUGUUUCAUGAUUGGGGGU
rnacentral:rRNA from 1 species